GCUCCUGUGGUGCAACCGGUUAGCGCGCGGUACUUAUGAUGCUGAGGUUGUGAGUUCGAGCCUCACCUGGAGCA
rnacentral:tRNA from 1 species